UUAUUUCUAAGUAUCUGUAUUUAUAUUUCUAAAAUGCAUAGUAUAUUUUCUGCUGUUUCAAAUAGCAAGGGCAGAUAAUAAGUUUUAUAAUCCUUAGUUCUAAAUAAUACAAAUGAUCUGUUCCCAAGCAUUAUACUGCUUACAUGGGUUUGUUGAACAGAAUUAUUACUCUGCCUCUUUCAUCAGCAAAAUGCCAUUUAAUGCACUGGCGUGGAACUGCUGACUCAUCAGAAAGGAUAUGACAGCAUUAUGCCAGCAGUUAAGAAAGAUUUGAUGUUUAAAACAAAAUAAUGCAUUCUUUCAAAUUUUUAAAGGUGCAUUUAGACAGUACCAAAGUGCCAAUAUCAUCAUCACUGGAGCCAUCACUCUCACGUUCUCAUUUUUCACCUUUCCUUAGGAACAUUAUCUGCAUUGUUUUCAUCACAUAAGCCAAGAGGAUUCAGUACAUUUUUCCUUCUCAGGAAAGUGAAAGAAAAUCACAUCCUGAAGUGUUUAGUCCUUGUGCAUACAUGUGUUCUCGGUCGCUUCAGUCAUGUCUGACUCUUUAGGACCCUUGUGGCUCAGCUGGUAAAGAAUCUGCCUGCAAUAUGGGAGACCUGGGUUGGGAAGAUCCCCUGCAGAAGGGAAAGGCUAUCCACUCCAGUAUUCUGGCCUGAAGAAUUCCAUUAACUAUAUAGUCCAACUGGUCACAAAGAGUCAGACACAACUGAAUGACUUUCACUUUCACUUUUCACUUUCACAGACUGUAGCCCACUAGGGAAGUGCCUUAAUCACUGCUAAAAGCAAAUUAUAUUUUUGAGUAAUUUAAUUAGAGGAAAGGAAUGUAAUAUGAGGUGUUAGCAAUCUUUGAGACAUAACUACUGACACUGAAAACAAAGUCUUCUAAACCCUAGGUCAGAUUAGUAACUCAAGUUCUCAUACUUGGGUUUCCUAAAGAUAGAAAGAGUGACAGUACAAUACUAAUAACUAAGGCACACUGAAUCAGAGAUGUGUAUUAUGUCCCAAUGGUGUGUCACGUGAUAAUGACUCAACGAUAUGAUGUAACACUGCAUUACCAUGCUAGAGAACUUUCAGUGUUUCAUUAGAAACACUGAACAUUUUAUAUACUGUUUAAAUUUAGAAGGAAACUAACUGGAAAAUGCAAAUUUUAGAAUCCAGUUGCUUGGGUGUUAAACCAACUUCCCCAUUUCGUAGCUGGUAAUCCUCUACACCUCACGUUUCCUUUGUUUUAAAAGAUAAUGUGGUCUUUUUAUAAAUCAAAUGAGAAUGAAUAUAUAGCACUAGAUCAUACUGUUUUGUUAAUCCUUGAGUUUGUGAGUAAUGUUGAACAGAGAUAGCUGUUCUUAUGAUUUCAUAGCUUGAAAGAUCCCUAGAGAUCAACUUGCCCAGUGUUCCAAUGGACACUAAUAACCCUGACCUUGACAAGUAAUUUGUCAUGACAUGAGGCCACCUAUUUCAUGAUAAGUAUUUCAUGGGGUUCCAUUUAGGUAACUCUGCUUUGGCUGCUUGAUGUGAAGAACUGACUCACUGGAAAAGACCCGGAUACUGGGAAAGAUUGAGGGUAGGAGGAGAAGGGGAUGACAGAGGAUGAGAUAGUUGGAUGGUAUCGCUGACUCAGUGCACAUGAGUUUGAACAGACUCAAGAGGAUAGUGAAGGACAGAGAAGCCUGGUAUACUGCAGUCCAUGGGUUCACAAAGAGUUGGACAUGACUUAGUGACUGAACAACAACAUUUAUGAAAUCUUCCCUUUGAAUGAGCAAUAAACAACUUUCCUAAAUGUUUUUGUUCAUUGGAGCUAGAAAUAGAAUCUUUUCUUCAGGAUCUCUUUUAUGCUUUGAAAGACCACAUUCAUGCCCAAUUCGAAGCUUUUCUCAAUAUGUUUUGAAAUUAAACAUCUCUAGUUCCUUCUUCAUGACAGAUUCCAAAAUACUACAUGCCCACUUGCUUUAUGAUUCAAAGCUCCUUUCAAAUACAACAGUAUUUUAGUUGUGCUAUCAGAAGCCCAAUAUCAGUGCCUUUGUUUCCCUGCUUCUGGGCUUUUCAAUGCUUUCAGCACGCUUUAUUUAGUUAUUGUUUCAUUUGGUUUUGUUAUGCUUUCUUUUUGUUUUUCUGAGCCAUGCCUCCUUUUGAUCCUUAUUAAGUUGAAUGCAUAGAGAAAUGUUUUUAAAAAUUACAUGUGUGCAUAUUUGGGAAUCAUCUCAAAAUAAUGUGACUCACCUUGAGGGUCCCAUCUAGUCAUUUAAGAACUUUGAAAAAGGCAGUUCCAGUGACAGAGCUCUGGUUCCUCCCACUCUUCCACCUUUUCCCUCCUCUUUUCUUCUUUCUAGACUAUAAUUUCAUAAUUUAUUGAAGGUGUAUUGCCUGUGGGGCUGAAUAAUUGCCCUACAUUAUCUUAUUUAAUCCUUACAACCAAUAGACAUGUUAGUUACAGUUUCCCAUUGUGCAAACCGAGAGGUGGGUACACAGAGAGAUGAUCAUUUUUCCCAGCCCCAGGGUGUUUGACACUAAAGAUCAUGUACUUCACUAGGUAGAAAGUUGUAGACUAGCAACGUUUGGGCACACACUCUGUAAACUGUUGUCCAUUUAGCUUUCCACACGUUCUUAGCCCACAUCUUUCUACUAUAUUCAUAGUGAUUUUAUGAAUGACUUUGCCAAAGCCUUAGUGACUUUCUAAUAUACUGCCUUGAGGGUCAAGUUACUAUAUACUCUUCAUAUCUCAAACCUCAACAAAAAUAACU
ensembl:lncRNA